GGGUACUCGAGCGGCGAACGGGUGAGUAACACGUGAGCAACCUGCCCUAGGCUUUGGGAUAACCCCGGGAAACCGGGGCUAAUACCGAAUAUGACCUCUGACUGCAUGGUUGGGGGUGGAAAGUUUUUCGGCCUGGGAUGGGCUCGCGGCCUAUCAGCUUGUUGGUGGGGUGAUGGCCUACCAAGGCGACGACGGGUAGCCGGCCUGAGAGGGCGACCGGCCACACUGGGACUGAGACACGGCCCACACUCCUACGGGAGGCAGCAGUGGGGAAUAUUGCACAAUGGGCGGAAGCCUGAUGCAGCGACGCCGCGUGAGGGAUGACGGCCUUCGGGUUGUAAACCUCUUUCUGCAUGGACGAAGCGUAAGUGACGGUACCUGCAGAAGAAGCGCCGGCCAACUACGUGCCAGCAGCCGCGGUAAUACGUAGGGCGCGAGCGUUKUCCGGAUUUAUUGGGCGUAAAGAGCUCGUAGGCGGCUUGUCGCGUCGACUGUGAAAACCCGCAGCUCAACUGCGGGCCUGCAGUCGAUACGGGCAGGCUAGAGUUCGGUAGGGGAGACUGGAAUUCCUGGUGUAGCGGUGAAAUGCGCAGAUAUCAGGAGGAACACCGGUGGCGAAGGCGUGUCUCUGGGCCGAUACUGACGCUGAGGAGCGAAAGCGUGGGGAGCGAACAGGAUUAGAUACCCUGGUAGUCCACGCUGUAAACGUUGGGCGCUAGGUGUGGGGGGCCUCUCCGGUUCCCUGUGCCGCAGCUAACGCAUUAAGCGCCCCGCCUGGGGAGUACGGCCGCAAGGCUAAAACUCAAAGGAAUUGACGGGGGCCCGCACAAGCGGCGGAGCAUGCGGAUUAAUUCGAUGCAACGCGAAGAACCUUACCUGGGUUUGACAUGGCCGCAAAACUCGCAGAGAUGUGAGGUCCUUCGGGGGCGGUCACAGGUGGUGCAUGGCUGUCGUCAGCUCGUGUCGUGAGAUGUUGGGUUAAGUCCCGCAACGAGCGCAACCCUCGUUCGAUGUUGCCAGCGCGUAAUGGCGGGGACUCAUCGAAGACUGCCGGGGUCAACUCGGAGGAAGGUGGGGAUGAGGUCAAGUCAUCAUGCCCCUUAUGUCCAGGGCUUCACGCAUGCUACAAUGGCCGGUACAAUGGGCUGCGAUACCGUGAGGUGGAGCGAAUCCCAAAAAGCCGGUCUCAGUUCGGAUCGGGGUCUGCAACUCGACCCCGUGAAGUCGGAGUCGCUAGUAAUCGCAGAUCAGCAACGCUGCGGUGAAUACGUUCCCGGGCCUUGUACACACCGCCCGUCACGUCACGAAAGUCGGCAACACCCGAAGCCGGUGGCCCAACCCUUGUGGAGGGAGCCG
rnacentral:rRNA from 1 species